UUCAUUUUUUUAUUUUUAGUGUCCGUUCUAAGAGUCAGCUGUGAAGAUCUCACUCCAUCAAAGCAAGAAGAGUUCAGUCCAGAAGGCAGCACUGUUACUCUGUCCUACAGAUACUCCAAAACUAUAACGGCUAGUGAAGAUUUCUUCUGGUAUCGACAAUAUCCAGGAAAACAACCAGAGUUUCUUCUCUACAUCUCAGGAACAAGUUUUACAAGACUAGCAGAGUCUCUGAAAUCAGACACAACAUUUGAUGCUACACUCAAUGACAAAUCAGUUCCUCUGCAGAUCUCCUCUGCUGCAGUGACAGACUCUGCUGUGUACUACUGUGCUCUGAAGCCCACAGUG